rnacentral:rRNA from 1 species
AUGGGGCGCAGCAGGCGCGAAAACUCCGCAAUGCGGGCAACCGUGACGGGGCCACCCCGAGUGCCCCGAAGAGGGGCUUUUCCCCGCUGUAAAUAGGCGGGGGUAAUAAGCGGGGGGCAAGUCUGGUGUCAGCCGCCGCGGUAAUACCAGCCCCGCGAGUGGUCGGGACGAUUAUUGGGCCUAAAGCGCCCGUAGCCGGCCCGGUAAGUCCCCCCUUAAAGCCCCGGGCUCAACCCGGGGACGGGGGGGAUACUGCCGGGCUAGGGGGCGGGAGAGGCCGAGGGUACUCCCGGGGUAGGGGCGAAAUCCGUUAAUCCCGGGAGGACCACCAGUGGCGAAGGCGCUCGGCUGGAACGCGCCCGACGGUGAGGGGCGAAAGCCGGGGGAGCGAACCGGAUUAGAUACCCGGGUAGUCCCGGCUGUAAACGAUGCGGGCUAGGUGUUGGGCGGGCUUAGAGCCCGCCCAGUGCCGCAGGGAAGCCGUUAAGCCCGCCGCCUGGGGAGUACGGCCGCAAGGCUGAAACUUAAAGGAAUUGCGGGGGAGCAC